GGUUGUGGCCCAGUGUUAGAGUGCUUGCCUAGCAUGUGUGAGGUAUCAGGUUCAAUCCUUGGCACCA
rnacentral:tRNA from 1 species